UGGCGAACGGGUGAGUAAUAUAUCGGAACAUGUCCGGAAGUGGGGGAUAACGUACCGAAAGGUACGCUAAUACCGCAUAUGCCCUGAGGGGGAAAGGAGGGGAUCGCAAGACCUUUCGCUUUCGGAGUGGCCGAUAUCAGAUUAGCUAGUUGGUGAGGUAAAGGCUCACCAAGGCGACGAUCUGUAGCUGGUCUGAGAGGACGACCAGCCACACUGGGACUGAGACACGGCCCAGACUCCUACGGGAGGCAGCAGUGGGGAAUUUUGGACAAUGGGCGCAAGCCUGAUCCAGCCAUGCCGCGUGAGUGAAGAAGGCCUUCGGGUUGUAAAGCUCUUUCAGCCGGAAAGAAAUCGUGCGGGCUAAUACCCUGUAUGGAUGACGGUACCGGAAGAAGAAGCACCGGCCAACUACGUGCCAGCAGCCGCGGUAAUACGUAGGGUGCGAGCGUUAAUCGGAAUUACUGGGCGUAAAGCGUGCGCAGGCGGUUUCGUAAGACAGACGUGAAAUCCCCGGGCUUAACCUGGGAACUGCGUUUGUGACUGCGAGACUAGAGUACGGCAGAGGGGGGUAGAAUUCCACGUGUAGCAGUGAAAUGCGUAGAUAUGUGGAGGAAUACCGAUGGCGAAGGCAGCCCCCUGGGUCGAUACUGACGCUCAUGCACGAAAGCGUGGGGAGCAAACAGGAUUAGAUACCCUGGUAGUCCACGCCCUAAACGAUGUCAACUAGUGUUGGGGGGAAGGAGACUUCCUUAGUACCGCAGCUAACGCGUGAAGUUGACCGCCUGGGGAGUACGGCCGCAAGGUUGAAACUCAAGGAAUUGACGGGGACCCGCACAAGCGGUGGAUUAUGUGGAUUAAUUCG
rnacentral:rRNA from 1 species